AAUAGAUACCCUGGUAGUCCACGCCGUAAACGAUGGGUGCUAGACGUUGGCGAGCUUGCUCGUCAGUGUCGCAGCUAACGCGUUAAGCACCCCGCCUGGGGAGUACGGCCGCAAGGUUGAAACUCAGAGGAAUUGACGGGGGCCCGCACAAGCGGUGGAGCAUGUGGUUCAAUUCGACGCAACGCGCAGAACCUUACCAGCCCUUGACAUGUGACUCGCCGGCUCCAGAGACGGAGCCUUCGGUUCGGCCGGAGUCAGCACAGGUGCUGCAUGGCUGUCGUCAGCUCGUGUCGUGAGAUGUUGGGUUAAGUCCCGCAACGAGCGCAACCCUCGUCUCCAGUUGCCAUCAGGUUAAGCUGGGCACUUUGGAGAACUGCCGGUGACAAGCCGGAGGAAGGUGGGGAUGACGUCAAGUCCUCAUGGCCCUUACGGGCUGGGCUACACACGUGCUACAAUGGCGGUGACAGUGGGAUGCGAAGGGGCGACCCGGAGCCGAUCCCCAAAAACCGUCCCAGUUCGGAUUGC
rnacentral:rRNA from 1 species